rnacentral:lncRNA from 1 species
UACAUGAGCACCAGCAGAGCCUGUAUUUCAUCAGCUUCCAAAAGUGAGUUAUUAUUAUUUUUAAAAAUUUGUCAACAAUAGGUUUUUAUUUUUCUAUCAAUUUAUUUUAGUAAUUUCUUUGGUUAUAUUUCUUACUAGUAAAAUGUGUCACUCAGUACCUUUUUGUUGCAGGUAACAGAGAACCACUCUAGACUGCUAAAGCCAAAAAGGAGACAGAUGUGUCUCCCGGAACCAAGGGCAUAAGCACAGCAGAGCCUCAGGAAAGACUAGAACCAAGCCAGGCCUGUAAAGUCCAUGCACCUGGUAACUUUCCAGACAGUGCUCCUGUUAAGCCUGGAAUGCUAUGGAGAAAUACACACAUGAGAAUCUCCAGUUUACCCAAGAUGAACAUGAAGAGUGAAAAAGAAAUGAUUUCUCUUGUUCAAAGCCCCUAGGAUGUAUUGUCCAAAAAAAUUAAAAAUGAAGCGAUUAGCUGUCAACAUCUGGGAGUGAUCCAGAGACAGAGACUAAUAGGGAGAUCAAGGAAAGAGACAGAGAGGCUUGCUAAAACCACUGUCAUUCAAGAGUGACUGCAUGCCUAAGAUUGUACUCUCUGUGGAGUAACAUCAGAGACUUCACACUUAGUGGGUAAGUGAAGGAAAGAAGAAGU